AAAGAAGAGAAACCAAGGAAGAACAAACCCUAGGUGGGAAAAAUCAAAGAAAAAGUGUUGAAAUUCAAGGAUUUGAUCAAGUAAAGGUAAAAUUUUUUUUAUUUUGCUAGUGAUUUACCUUACCCAUGCAUUUUUUCUUAAUUUUCAUGGUUAAAUUACAUGUUUUCAUGAUAAAAUUAUGGCUGGUCAAAAUGGGUAUUGAGAGAGAAAGAUGUUGGAAUUGUUUGAUUUUGAGUUAUGUUGGUGUUUAGAGUUAGUUAAACAUGUUUAGAAACAAAACAACAAGAAAAGAAUCCAUUUUCCCCAUGAACCUUCAAUGGUCGAAAGUUUCAAGAAGAAAAGUGAAGAUAAAUUUGCCUAAUUGUGUGUUAACUAGUUGUACUUGGUGAAUUGAGGGAUUGGAAAAGAAAUGGAGAAAGUUGGAGUGAAAUUGGAUGCAUUGGCCAAUUUAUUGGAUGAAAAAUCGACUUAGGUCAAUACCGGGUCUAGAUGACUACCUGUGCAUUUUUUAUUUCAUAUCAUGCAUAUAUAUCGAGCCUGAAAUAGCUUACGACUGUUAGACACAAUUUAAUUGGAAUAUGUGCCAUGGAUUAUGGCUAAGUGGUGAGCCAUUAGAUACGGGUAAAGGACUGUAUCCGCGGACUGAAAAUAGGAGUAUAUCGACUCCUAGAACAGUGAGUAAACUUACUAUCGUCUUAAUUAUCUAGAGUAGAUUUAUUUAAUUGUGUGAUUUUAUGAAAAAAUGAUUUAAUUGGAAAAUUAUUGUGUUUUAUGGGAAAAUGAGAUUUUAUAAAAUUUUUACAAAUUUAAUAAUGAUUUCAAAAAUAGAGUAAUUGGAGACCUAUAUUAUGAUUGUGUUGUUUAUCUAUGAUUUUACAUUAAAUGGCUUAUGAUAAAUAUGGGUAUGACUGGUUAUUUUUAUGAUUUCAAGAAUAUGUGAACUGCUUUGAUUUACCUUGAAUGUGUUAAGUGAGCCAUGUCAUACUAUUGUGAUUUUAUUGGUUGAUGGAUUAUAAAUUGGGCACUGCAGUGACGGGGGUUCCGUGGGCCAGCCUAAUUAGAGAGACACGGUUCCCAAUUAUUGAGCUUACCUCGAUUGGAGAGGCGCGUAGGAUAACUCUCGAGGUAGGAUUUGAGUACACUUCACGCUGGCCACCACGUGAAACUGGGACUCAGCCAAUGCCGAGGAACGGCUGUGUUGUCAGAGGUGAAAUGUGUUUGUGUGUGUGACAAUAAACAGCCUUGGCGGUCUCGGUAAGAUGCCUUCGCGGGGUAUCCCCGAGAAUGGAUUUUUGGCAAGGGCCAAGUUUUUGAAAAGUGCAUAAGCCAUGUUGAGUAAUUGGAUGAAAUCCAAUAAUUUAUAUGGGUUGGGAUGAAUUAUUUUAAUUGUCUCCUAUUACUCGGCUUUAGAUUAUUUUGAUGAUGUCUGUCUACUCACUAGGAUUUUAUAAUCUCACCCCUUAUUCCUAUCCAUUUUUCAGGCUCAAGACAAUUUGUUGAUAGUUGAUUAAGACGAGAAUUAAUCUCGGAGUUGCAUCUUAGAAAGUAAGGGCUCGUAACCCUACAUUUUCUUAGUCAGUUGGGGGCCCACGUGUCACUGUAAAAGUAAUUUUAUUCUUCAGUUAUUUAAUUUAAAAUAUGUAUGAAUAUAUUUAGCUUUUACACCAUGUUUUUGGCAAGUUUCGGUAUUUUCGAAGAAAAAUGACGAAAAUACCCCUGUGAGCCAGAAAAUAAUAUUUUAUUGUUUUGAUUUAGAAAUGACUUAUGAUUUUUUUUUAAAUGUGAGAUUUAAUAACUGUCGCUCACUGGGGAGAUGCAGAAGCUGAUGCUAAGCCUUGCGGGGUUUCAAUCGACAUUCGGGGUAAUGAGUGCCUAUCGGGAUGUCGCGGCGGUUGUCACAGGCUCGAUGGGAGUUCCGGG
rnacentral:lncRNA from 1 species